GCCAAGCGCUCGCAGCUGCCACCCUGCGACUAAUGUUCGGUACUGCAGCUCGGAGGCUGCGAGUGCGCGGGGCUGCCCCUGUCCUGCACGUGCCGUCCGACGGUAACGGCAAUGCGGCACCGGCGGGAGGUGCCGCCGUGCUCGUUGCUUCCUCCCGGUAAGGAAAUGCCGCCGGAAAGGAAAGCUUGCGUGGGCUGUCUCUGCCUGGCCUCCCUCUCCGCGGCGCGGGAGCACAAAGGGACAGGCGGGGCACUUACCGGCUGUGGGCAGGAGCUGCUGCAGCUGAAGCUGGAGAGGCCAGAGAAAGGUAGAGAAGAAGAAAUGGAAGGCCGGCCAGCCGGCAGCUGCCUCCCGCUGCAGGCAAGAGGGAGCCUGCCUCUCCGUGUGUGGAAGGAUCCCUCCUCGUAGGCCGCAGCAGGGGGAGGAGGACAGCCGUGCAGCCGGAGUUACAGCAGAGGAGGCGAGCGGGAGAGGAGCAGAAAGAAGCGUCUGAACUGGCAAAUUCUCCUGGUAGUGCCAAGAACGAGAACUGCGAAGUGUUGUCGUAAGGGUGUGGUGAUGCUCAGCAGAUGCCCCAUCCUGUGGGAAGCACCCCCUCCAUGGGGCAGGCAGUGUGGAUUAUCUGGUGUUGGGUCAAGAACCCAGAGUGGAAUUGCUGUUGCAGAUUAUCCCAGACGAGUCUACCUACUGUGCAUUACCUGGGUGGAGCCCCUGGUGAACAUAAACCUCAUGCAUGCCCCGCCCCAGCCUGUGCAUGUUCUUGUGCACAUAUCUUACCACCCCAAAUUAGCCAUCUAACCCACCUUCCAUGCGAGUUUUUUCCCAUGUUGAUUGGUGGGGGCGUCACCCCCUUCCCCCCACCGGCCAUGUAUCCCUGAAGUUCCAUGUUUUCUUGGUGUCAUUUGUGGCUGCUGCUGCCGCCGUGUAAACCGCGGGGGGCGUGGCUUCUGCUGACCCUUUUCUGCGUGACUGCAGGGGGCGUUGUUGCCCCCCCGGCCUGUCUUUGUGGGGCAUGGCUGCUGCCUGGUCCCCCCCAUGUAUUUCCAUGGUUUUUUUUGGUGUCUUUUGCGCUUUGGGACUCUUGCACCUCUGUUAAGGGAGUCAGUUGGAGACACGCUCAGGGUGACUCUGAAUCAUUGCCUAUUCACAGUAAAUAAUUUAUU